rnacentral:rRNA from 1 species
UGCCAGCCGCCGCGGUAAUACGGAGGGUGCAAGCGUUGUCCGGAUUUAUUGGGUUUAAAGGGUGCGUAGGCGGGAUCUUAAGUCAGUGGUGAAAUACUUCGGCUCAACCGGAGAGGUGCCAUUGAAACUGGGAUUCUUGAGUACAGACGAGGUAGGCGGAAUUUAUGGUGUAGCGGUGAAAUGCAUAGAUACCAUAAAGAACACCAAUGGCGAAGGCAGCUAUCUGGACGAUUACUGACGCUCAGGCACGAAAGCAUGGGGAGCGAAAGGGAUUAGAUA